GGCUUCGGGAAGGGAAUUGUGAAAUUGCAAUAGGGCUCCCAAAAUUUGCCACGUGGAGGCUAGAGGAGGAGAGUUGUCAUGUGUUUGGUGGGCGAACCGCAUGCCCGAUGGAAUAGGUUGUGUGUUUUGGCGUAGGGUAUGCUUAGGCAGGCCACAUGCCCGAUGCUUUUAGAAUUCCCUUGGGUCAUCUUCUUAUGCAUGCCUGUAUGGGUGAAUGUUUGCUUUCCUUACAUCCCUCUGUUUCUAGAUUGACGUGAGAGCGUUUUGGGUCAUCGAGAUUUUGGAACCAGCUGCUCACGUGUAUGGCUCGAAUAGGUCAUCAGCUUGGGAUGGACACGACUUCUCAGCUUUCAGGUGCUUGACAUUUCCACAAAAGUUUCUAAAAUCCUUUUUUGGAGAGUUAACACGAUAAGCAUCAAAGGGCAAGAAGCCCCUGAAUUUUCAAGCAAUUAGAGAAACAGGAUGAAUGGAUGAACAACUAACACAUUGACGCAUGCAUCAACGUCAUGUGUAAGUGUAGUCGUGAACAUCAUUCCCUAUUACACAAAUGGAACAUAUGUAUCAUUGACAUGCUUUUCUAUGUAAGUAUAUUAUAAUGAGUUUUAAUUAUUAAAAUAUUUUUUAAGGGUUUAGUUCAUGGUGUUUGACUAUUAAACGUAACUUAAUUGAUAAGGUAUUUUGCAUGCCAUGUGUCGUGAAGUGGACUCUAAACCCUUUGAUCUGAAGUUCAAGCCAAAGAAGGUGGUUAUUCCUAAAGUUCUGCUUGAUUAUGUUAAAGGUGACAGUUCUCUAGGGGGAAGUCAUGGAAUGAGGUCAACUCAAUCUUGGUGCCAUGCCAUUUUAGUGACCAUUGGAUUAUAAUGCAUAUCAACUUGGUCAAUAGAAGUAUAACGUUGGUGAACUCCUCAUAUGCUCGUUUGGAUGCAAUUAAGUUCCCAUUGCAUGUGGAUCAGAUGCAUCCUUUAACUACGCUGAUUUUUGUUAUAUGCCACUAGUUUGAGUACUUUGACAGAUUACAUUGUAGAAAACGACCUUGGACACGGAUGAGUUGGCAAUUAAAUAGUUCAACCUCGGAACAAGAAGACAACAACAGUUGUGGGGAUUGGUAAUCACUACAAUGAAGUGGCUGAUAAAUAUGCGUGACAUGAUGCUAAGGAAGGGCGUUAUUAAAGGGCUGAGGAAAGAUAUACAUUAAAGAUGUUUGCUAAUACCUUUGUUUAUUAGAUAGAUUCAUUGUGAAAUGCAAAGCAACCUUGUUUAUUUGUUUGAUGCAAACUUAAGUUUGUAAAGUAACUUUGU